AGGACGAACGCUGGCGGCGUGCUUAACACAUGCAAGUCGAGCGGAAAGGCCCUUCGGGGUACUCGAGCGGCGAACGGGUGAGUAACACGUGAGCAACCUGCCCUUAGCUCCGGGAUAGCUCCGGGAAACCGGAAUUAAUACCGGAUACGACCACGGCCGACAUCUGCUGUGGUGGAAAGGAUUCCGGCUAAGGAUGGGCUCGCGGCCUAUCAGCUAGUUGGUGGAGUAACGGCCCACCAAGGCGACGACGGGUAGCCGGCCUGAGAGGGCGACCGGCCACACUGGGACUGAGACACGGCCCAGACUCCUACGGGAGGCAGCAGUGGGGAAUAUUGCGCAAUGGGCGAAAGCCUGACGCAGCGACGCCGCGUGGGGGAUGAAGGCCUUCGGGUUCGUAAACCCUUUCAGCAGGGACGAAGCGAAAGUGACGGUACCUGCAGAAGAAGCGCCGGCUAACUACGCGCCAGCAGCCGC
rnacentral:rRNA from 1 species